GACUCCGAGUUCAUGGAGCGGGAUGCCUUGGGAAGGGAUGGGACGUCUCCACCUGAGCGAGGAGAGGCCCCUGGAGCAGAACGGAGGUGUAAUGCUGAGGAGCUGCAGGGGAGAGCAAGGCUUUGGUCACUUUGGAGUUGGAGAUCUUGAGCCAGGGAAGAGAUCCCAGCAAGAGGAGAAGGGAUGUCCCCAGCCUGACAGCUCCUUCUUGGCUGCGCUCUGCCCGUGCUCUGCCUGAUGUCUCCGUGUUCUCCACGAGGGACCCAACCUGCCAUGGCCCCAGCAAGAGGCAGCAUUGGCUGCUGGAUGUGGAGGGGUUCUGCAUUGCUUCGCACCUGUGGGGAGGGAGCCAGGGGAUGGGAAGCCUGGCAAAAAUCCUACAUAACUCUUGUACAUCACCUCCAGUACCCAAAUACCCCUGGGUAGAGAGUAUUAUAUAUAUAUAGUUGUGUGUGUAUAUAUAUAUCACUCUCUCUAUAUACAGAGUGAGCACUGUCCCAGCUGGGUGCAGGGAUGUUGGUGGGAGCAGGAGGGAGGUCUGAGCAGGACGGAUGCCGUGUUUAGGGGCUCUGCUCAUGGAGCAGAGCUUGGCCUAUGCUGUCUGUGUGUGUGUGAUGGACUGACCGUGGGCUGACCAUGCCUGGUCCAGGCAGUGUUCCAUUGCACUGUAAGAAAAAUUCACUGUAAUUAUCCCCUAUUAAAAUCGACCCCA
rnacentral:lncRNA from 1 species